GAACGCUGCGGUAUGCCUAACACAUGCAAGUCGAACGAGCUCUUCGGAGCUAGUGGCGGACGGGUGAGUAACACGUGAGGAUCUGCCUCAAGGUCGGGGACAACAGUUGGAAACGACUGCUAAUACUCGAUAUGCCAGAAGGUAAAAGAUUUAUUGCCUGGAGAGGAUCUCGCGUCCGAUUAGCUAGUUGGUGGGGUAAAAGCCUACCAAGGCGACGAUCGGUAGCUGGUCUGAGAGGAUGAGCAGCCACACUGGGACUGAGACACGGCCCAGACUCCUACGGGAGGCAGCAGUGGGGAAUUUUCCGCAAUGGGCGCAAGCCUGACGGAGCAAUACCGCGUGAGGGAGGAAGGCUUUUGGGUUGUAAACCUCUUUUAUCAGGGAAGAAAAUUUGACGGUACCUAAAGAAUAAGCAUCGGCUAACUCCGUGCCAGCAGCCCGCGGUAAUACGGGGGAUGCAAGCGUUAUCCGGAAUCACUGGGCGUAAAGAGUCUGUAGGUUGUUUAAAAAGUCUGCUGUUAAAUAUUAAAGCUCAACUUUAAA
rnacentral:rRNA from 1 species